rnacentral:lncRNA from 1 species
CUCCAUUCCAAGCCAAUCAAAGCCUUCUUCUUCAAUUCUUGGUUUCCAGCAAAACCAUAUAGUUUCAAGUGAUUUGACUCCAAAUUGCAACGCAUCUUCUCCUAAUUAUGCCGCUGAGAACUGGGAUAUUGGUUACAUAGUCAGGCGAUCCAGCUUGUGAGCCAUAUUUCACCAGUAUAAUAUUAUUAGAAGGUAAACUUUUCUACAAAACAGUUUCAAAAUAUACAUUAGCUCAAUGUUAAUUAUUCUUUCAUUUUUCUUUACUGGCAGGUCCUUGACUAAUUAGGUCGAGACUGAUGUGUGGUUUCCCAUGUGCUUAGGCUAUGUAAGCUUUACUAUAUGUUUCGGCUUUGACGAAUCUCUUAUUUAUCUCCCUUUUUUUACCAACUAGUUUACGGGUGGAACUUUCAUGAAUUUAUCUUUAUUUCACUACAUUGACACCUCUUGUUACUCCAAAAUUUUAGUUAAUUGUGCUUAAUAAUUUAGCCGUUGACCCUCAUUUAUUAAAACAUACUUUUUAUACUGCAUUGGACAGAUCUAAUGUCUUUAGUUAUCGUAUAUAAUCAGGUCUAAAACAAGUUUUAUUUUAGGAUAUCAGGUCAAAUCCUAAUGUAGCAUCAUUGUUUAAGUUCAUCUUAUUGACAGUUAAAUAUAUAAUAUCAGUAUAUCGGAGGUUUGAAAAUACUAGGACACUUUUAGACCUACCUUGUUGAAUCCAUAGUUCAAGAUUACUGAUCCAUUAUGCUCAUCUAGCAUUUAAUUUAGAAGAAAGAACAUGAAUUCAUUAUACUAAUAGGAUUUAGGAAUACAUAUUAUUAGGUCUAUAGUGCUUUUGAUAUAUAAAUGUUAUGUGCAUAAGUAUGAUUCAUGUACUAAGUUUGUAUUAUAGAAAACAUGAGAAAAAGUGAAGCAAAUUGUAAGAAAAGCAAUAAAAAAAUGAGAGUGAAAUAUACCUUUUUCAAGGAAGAAACUUCUCUUAAAGUGUUCUAGUGAGAGCGAGUACUUGAAUAUCAGUGAAUUCAUCUUGGUUUCCAAUUACAAAGUGGUAUCGAAGACUUGCUGAAGGAAUUGUUAGAGAUGACAUCAAACAGUUACAGCCACAGCUUCCUGACUUCAAUGCGAAGAAGUAGUCAACAAAUAUGGAUCCAACAACGAAACUGUUGUAUGUUAUCCAAGCCUUGUGAAAAACUUUGAGAAAUGGAUACACGGACGAUCAAGCUCGGCCAUUCAAUUUAUAGAAUUGAAUCGGAAAAGGGACAAAAAUACACUGUCCUUUAUUUAUCGAGAAAUAAAUGAUGAGAUUUUUGAAACAAUUUCAGACACUAUGCCACCAAAACGAGCGUGGGAUUUAUCAUGUAUUUUGGAGACUGCCUACAAGUUAGAUUUCCAUAAGAUUCUCAACAAAAAACAGGCUGCUGUUGCUUUUUAGAAAGGGAACAAUUUGAAUUGGAAAUUGGAAAUGGAAGAGAAAACUACUAAAUUAUUUGAGGAUGAAGAGAACACAAUAUGGUCAGUUGGAGUAGAAGGCAACUGAAAUGAAACACAUACGGAAAAAAAAACUAAGAACAUAGGAGCAAAAGUUGGGAACGCAAACAUACAUGCUUAGGAAAAAGAUAAGAAGACUGUAACAAAGGUGAAAUCUGUGGAGGAAAAUGAGAGGCCUGUCAAAAUGUUAACCACGGCAAUCAUAUUUGAGGUAUUAAUGUUUUCAAUAUUACAGUUGUCAUUUGUCAACACUUAAGUUCAUUAAGGAGGGUAUAUAUGAUAGUUAGAAUCAUCAUGCAACAGUUUUUUACAGCUUUCAGACUGUGUCAUUGUUCUAGUUUCACAUCUUUCAGGCUUUGAAAUAUUUUCAAUAGGACUGUAGGAGGAAAUUUUAAAUUUUAUAUUAUUCUUUGAAGCUACCGUGCUCUUUACAUAUAGGUUGAGAAAUCAGAGUUUUUAUGUCACUUGAAUUAACAUGAAGUCUUAGCCUUAAAAAAGUUUACAAUCAUUUGUCUAAAAUUCCCUAGAGUUCUUAUAAUUACCUCUCCAAGUGGAAAUAUAUGUUGGUUAUUAGCAGAAUAUUUUAAAUUUCCUUUAAAUGUACAGAUACCCAAUCUGGAAUCAAAAGAUCCUGCUGUAUAUUUUACAUUAGAGAAAACUUAAUACAGUUCCUAGGAAUUUAAUUUGUCAAAAUACGUUUGGUAUAUAGGUAUCUAGUUUUUUUUUUUUUUUUAGAGGUUUCUAGGUUAGAUUGUGGAAUUGGUAAUUUUUUGGUCAGCUGGUUUGUUGACACGAGUAAUUAUGUUGUGGGAAUCGAACUUACCGGGCUGAAGUAAUCAAAGUGACAAUGGAAGAGAAAUAAGUAAAGUUGUGGUAAUGAUUAAAAGACUUGCAGUUCAAUACCUUCAAAAUUUUCCUGUGUUAAAACCAACAGGGUUGUAUAUUCUGAAGCGACAGACGAAGGAAGUACUAUAAAGACACAAAAAGUUCAUAUCCUUUCAUUGGGGACCAUUGUGAGUCAGUCUCUUGUUUUUAGCGUCUUACGUACAGUGGAAACAAAUUUCAAUCCUCAUUCUUCCUUCCCUAUUGUCCUAAACUGCGACAGGAUUACCGUGAAUACAUUAAAGUGCAAGAUGCAUAAAGUACCCUACUAACAGAGCUCCAAUAUUUUUGAUCCUAUGAUUGUUUGGCUAAGAUUAUUAUAGUUUAAUUGCUGAACUGACUAUCAUUCUCCUCUAACCUCAGCCAUGGGUACUGUCAAUUACAUAUAUAUAUUCUCUUUGCCUAAUUAGCUUUGAAUUAUUCGAGCCUUUAUAUAGACAUGCAUAAUAAUUUCAUCACAGAGAUGAUUAUACAAAACGACUUACUGAACUUUUGGUAAGAAAUUCAUCGCAACGUUCAACAAUUGAAUUCACUAACCUGAUCGGCUGAUCCCAACAAUUGAAAGCCCUUUGUCUUGGCACAGCCGUGUAUUCUGAGAAGCAAUCCUUGUUGACAUAUGUAAGUCAGUUCCAUUAAUUGAAUCCUCGAAAGGGGGGUAAAGAA